rnacentral:rRNA from 1 species
GAUGAACGCUGGCGGCGUGCUUAACACAUGCAAGUCGAACGGGAAACCUUUUAUUGAAGCUUCGGCAGAUUUAGCUGGUUUCUAGUGGCGGACGGGUGAGUAACGCGUGGGUAACCUGCCUUAUACAGGGGGAUAACAACCAGAAAUGGUUGCUAAUACCGCAUAAGCGCACAGGACCGCAUGGUCCGGUGUGAAAAACUCCGGUGGUAUAAGAUGGACCCGCGUUGGAUUAGCUAGUUGGCAGGGUAACGGCCUACCAAGGCGACGAUCCAUAGCCGGCCUGAGAGGGUGAACGGCCACAUUGGGACUGAGACACGGCCCAGACUCCUACGGGAGGCAGGAGGGGGGAAUAUUGCACAAUGGGGGAAACCCUGAUGCAGCGACGCCGCGUGAAGGAAGAAGUAUCUCGGUAUGUAAACUUCUAUCAGCAGGGAAGAUAGUGACGGUACCUGACUAAGAAGCCCCGGCUAACUACGUG